AUUCAAAUAGUUUAUUUAAAAUAUUGAUUUGUGGAAUCAAAGAUAUAUUUAUUAUUUUGGAUA
rnacentral:tRNA from 1 species